CGGCAGCCCGAGUGGUGAUCACUAUUAUUGGGUCUAAAGGGUCCGUAGCCGGUUUGAUCAGUCUUUUGGGAAAUCUGACAGCUUAACUGUUAGGCUUCCAAAGGAUACUGUCAGACUUGGGACCGGGAGAGGCUAGAGGUACUCCUGGGGUAGGAGUGAAAUCUUGUAAUCCCUGUGGGACCACCAGUGGCGAAGGCGUCUUACCAGAACGGGUCCGACGGUGAGGGACGAAAGCUGGGGGCACGAACCGGAUUAGAGACCCGAGUAGUCC
rnacentral:rRNA from 1 species